UACGUAGGCAGCAAGCGUUGUUCGGAGUUACUGGGCGUAAAGGGCGCGUAGGCGGCCUGCUAAGUCGAACGUGAAAUCCCCGAGCUCAACCCGGGAACUGCGUCCGAUACUGGCGGGCUUGAAUCCGGGAGAGGGAUGCGGAAUUCCAGGUGUAGCGGUGAAAUGCGUAGAUAUCUGGAGGAACACCGGUGGCGAAGGCGGCAUCCUGGACCGGUAUUGACGCUGAGGCGCGAAAGCCAGGGGAGCAAACGGG
rnacentral:rRNA from 1 species